GGGGAAUAUUGCACAAUGGGCGGAAGCCUGAUGCAGCGACGCCGCGUGGGGGAUGACGGUCUUCGGAUUGUAAACCCCUUUCAGUAGGGACGAAGCGCAAGUGACGGUACCUGCAGAAGAAGCACCGGCCAACUACGUGCCAGCAGCCGCGGUAAUACGUAGGGUGCGAGCGUUGUCCGGAAUUACUGGGCGUAAAGAGCUCGUAGGCGGUUUGUCACGUCGUCUGUGAAAUCCUCCAGCUUAACUGGGGGCGUGCAGGCGAUACGGGCAGACUUGAGUACGACAGGGGAGACUGGAAUUCCUGGUGUAGCGGUGAAAUGCGCAGAUAUCAGGAGGAACACCGGUGGCGAAGGCGGGUCUCUGGGUAGUAACUGACGCUGAGGAGCGAAAGCAUGGGUAGCGAAC
rnacentral:rRNA from 1 species